rnacentral:tRNA from 1 species
UGGCACAGUGGUUAAGUGCUUGGCUACUAACCAAAAGGUUGGUGGUUCAAACCCACC